UACGCUGAAAACGAUGGUGAAGUCCAAAUUUGGCGCACGGACUUAGUUUUGAAGUUAUGGCCUAAUGAAGUUCACUAUUUCGCGAUUUUUUUUUUCACUUAUAUUGAUUGUGAUUGUGCCGUGGCUUGCAGUUGUCCGAAAAAUGAUAAGGUGGUUGUACGUUGGUUAACCUGUGGUUACCCUGUGACCAACUUAAGGUGGUGUUGCACAGCAAGUCGGGGGAUAUUUUCGAUUUGCGGAGCGGAGCGACGGCGCCGAGGAGCGAAGCGACGAGUGCCGCUAGCACGGCAUCACUGUACGAUGUACUAACUAUCAAUUAGUUUAGAUUACAUCAUGAACUAAGAAGUUCAUGGAUUACAAUAUUACAUACUAUGAUUAUACUGAUAUUAUUAGAAAUAGUCGUAGUAAACUAGUGUGAUGCGCGAAUGCGUAAAAAUCGCGAAAUAGUGAACUUCAUUAGGCCAUAACUUCAAAACUAAGUCCGUGCCCCAAAUUCGGUUUUCACCAUCGUUUUCAGCGUACCUAACUACAUAAGUUUCGAAAAAAAAAAUUUCAAUAUUCGAAAUAGUCGUAGUAAACUAGUGUUCCGCGAAUGCGUGAAAAUCGCAAAAUAGCGAACUUCAAUAGACCAUAACUUCAAAACUAAGUCCGUGCGCCAAAUUUGGACUUCACCAUCGUUUUCAGCGUGCUUAACUACAUCAGUU